rnacentral:rRNA from 1 species
CCUACGGGCGGCUGCAGUGGGGAAUUUUGGACAAUGGGGGCAACCCUGAUCCAGCAAUGCCGCGUGAGUGAAGAAGGCCUUCGGGUUGUAAAGCUCUUUUGUCAGGGAAGAAACGGUGAGUUCUAAUAAAGCUUGCUAAUGACGGUACCUGAAGAAUAAGCACCGGCUAACUACGUGCCAGCAGCCGCGGUAAUACGUAGGGUGCAAGCGUUAAUCGGAAUUACUGGGCGUAAAGCGUGCGCAGGCGGUUAUAUAAGUCAGAUGUGAAAUCCCUGGGCUCAACCUAGGAACUGCAUUUGAGACUGUAUGGCUAGAGUGUGUCAGAGGGGGGUAGAAUUCCACGUGUAGCAGUGAAAUGCGUAGAUAUGUGGAGGAAUACCGAUGGCGAAGGCAGCCCCCUGGGAUAACACUGACGCUCAUGCACGAAAGCGUGGGGAGCAAACAGGAUUAGAUACCCCAGUAGUC